rnacentral:rRNA from 1 species
AACGACUCUCGGCAACGGAUAUCUCGGCUCUUGCAUCGAUGAAGAACGUAGCGAAAUGCGAUACUUGGUGUGAAUUGCAGAAUCCCGUGAACCAUCGAGUCUUUGAACGCAAGUUGCGCCCUAAGCCAUUAGGCCGAGGGCACGUCUGCCUGGGUGUCACGC